CGCAGGGCGGCUGCUAUACAUGCAGUCGAGCGAGCUGAACCAACAGAUUCACUUCGGUGAUGACGUUGGGAACGCGAGCGGCGGAUGGGUGAGUAACACGUGGGGAACCUGCCCCAUAGUCUGGGAUACCACUUGGAAACAGGUGCUAAUACCGGAUAAGAAAGCAGAUCGCAUGAUCAGCUUAUAAAAGGCGGCGUAAGCUGUCGCUAUGGGAUGGCCCCGCGGUGCAUUAGCUAGUUGGUAGGGUAACGGCCUACCAAGGCAAUGAUGCAUAGCCGAGUUGAGAGACUGAUCGGCCACAUUGGGACUGAGACACGGCCCAAACUCCUACGGGAGGCAGCAGUAGGGAAUCUUCCACAAUGGACGAAAGUCUGAUGGAGCAACGCCGCGUGAGUGAAGAAGGUUUUCGGAUCGUAAAGCUCUGUUGUUGGUGAAGAAGGAUAGAGGUAGUAACUGGCCUUUAUUUGACGGUAAUCAACCAGAAAGUCACGGCUAACUACGUGCCAGCAGCCGCGGUAAUACGUAGGUGGCAAGCGUUGUCCGGAUUUAUUGGGCGUAAAGCGAGCGCAGGCGGAAGAAUAAGUCUGAUGUGAAAGCCCUCGGCUUAACCGAGGAACUGCAUCGGAAACUGUUUUUCUUGAGUGCAGAAGAGGAGAGUGGAACUCCAUGUGUAGCGGUGGAAUGCGUAGAUAUA
rnacentral:rRNA from 1 species